rnacentral:rRNA from 1 species
CCUACGGGAGGCAGCAGUGGGGAAUUUUGGACAAUGGGCGCAAGCCUGAUCCAGCAAUGCCGCGUGCAGGAUGAAGGCCUUCGGGUUGUAAACUGCUUUUGUACGGAACGAAACGGUCCUUUCUAAUACAGGGGGCUAAUGACGGUACCGUAAGAAUAAGCACCGGCUAACUACGUGCCAGCAGCCGCGGUAAUACGUAGGGUGCGAGCGUUAAUCGGAAUUACUGGGCGUAAAGCGUGCGCAGGCGGUUAUAUAAGACAGAUGUGAAAUCCCCGGGCUCAACCUGGGACCUGCAUUUGUGACUGUAUAGCUAGAGUACGGUAGAGGGGGAUGGAAUUCCGCGUGUAGCAGUGAAAUGCGUAGAUAUGCGGAGGAACACCGAUGGCGAAGGCAAUCCCCUGGACCUGUACUGACGCUCAUGCACGAAAGCGUGGGGAGCAAACAGGAUUAGAUACCCUGGUAGUCCACGCCCUAAACGAUGUCAACUGGUUGUUGGGUCUUCACUGACUCAGUAACGAAGCUAACGCGUGAAGUUGACCGCCUGGGGAGUACGGCCGCAAGGUUGAAACUCAAAUGAAUUGACGG